rnacentral:sRNA from 12 species
GCUCUGCCGUUGGUGACUCGGCAGGCCGAUCACUUUUCUUGUGGUCAGCCGUUUAUUCCUGCUUUGGCAAAUACACUACGCGGUUCGUCAGAAGGGGGAGUAGCCUUUGUUGAUUGGUCGAAACCCCUGGACGGC